rnacentral:lncRNA from 1 species
GGGACACCGGGCCAUGCACGCCCCCAACUGAAGCUGCAUCUCAAAGCCGAAGAUUCCAGCAGCCCAGGGGAUUUCAAAGAGCUCAGACUCAGAGGAACAUCUGCGGAGAGACCCCCGAAGCCCUCUCCAGGGCAGUCCUCAUCCAGACGCUCCGCUAGUGCAGACAGGAGCGCGCAGUGGCCCCGGCUCGCCGCGCCAUGGAGCGGAUCCCCAGCGCGCAACCACCCCCCGCCUGCCUGCCCAAAGCACCGGGACUGGAGCACGGAGACCUACCAGGGAUGUACCCUGCCCACAUGUACCAAGUGUACAAGUCAAGACGGGGAAUAAAGCGGAGCGAGGACAGCAAGGAGACCUACAAAUUGCCGCACCGGCUCAUCGAGAAAAAGAGACGUGACCGGAUUAACGAGUGCAUCGCCCAGCUGAAGGAUCUCC